AUCCUUCUGCAGUUCGUAAGCGUGAUGUUUGGGUUUUCCUGCGCAUGCAUGUGAUGUGCCUCCCACAAAUCUUGCUACGACGUCAGCACAUUAUCCAUCUGACA